AUUGAACGCUGGCGGCAUGCCUUACACAUGCAAGUCGAACGGUAACAGGUCUUCGGAUGCUGACGAGUGGCGAACGGGUGAGUAAUACAUCGGAACGUGCCCAGACGGGGGGGAUAAUGAGGCGAAAGAUUUGCUAAUAACGCAUACGAUCUAAGGAUGAAAGCAGGGGACCGCAAGGACUUGUGCGUUUGGAGCGGCAGAUGGCAGAUUAGGUAGUUGGUGGGAUAAAAGCUUACCAAGCCGACGAUCUGUAGCUGGUCUGAGAGGACGACCAGCCACACUGGGACUGAGACAUGGCCCAGACUCCUACGGGAGGCAGCAGUUGGGAAUUUUGGACAAUGGGCGAAAGCCUGAUCCAGCAAUGCCGCGUGCAGGAUGAAGGCCUUCGUGUUGUAUACUGCUUUUGUACUGAACGAAAAGUCUCUGGCUAAUACCUGCGGCACAUGACGGUACCUUAAGAAUAAGCACCGGCUAACUACGUG
rnacentral:rRNA from 1 species